CAAGGUUUCCUUCAAACAACAUCUAUUCGUUUCAUUGUACCGGAUUCAUCAGAUUCAAAAUCACUCUGAGGGCUGUUGGCAGCGACUGAGACUGGAGGAAUGGAGUCAAAUCAGAUUAAGGAGCUGAGAUAUAUAGUCUGUGGUGCCACAGUUCAAACACCUGCCGCUUCUCACUCUGCCGUGCGCUCCGCUGAGCACGCCUCGGGACACGCCCACGGGCGUUCCUCUCCUGCA